rnacentral:rRNA from 1 species
GAUGAACGCUAGCGGCAGGCUUAACACAUGCAAGUCGAGGGGUAUAGUAGCAAUACUAGAGACCGGCGCACGGGUGCGUAACGCGUAUGCAAUCUACCUUUUACAGAGGGAUAGCCCAGAGAAAUUUGGAUUAAUACCUCAUAGUAUUAUUAAAUGGCAUCAUUUUAUAAUUAAAGUCACAACGGUAAAAGAUGAGCAUGCGUCCCAUUAGCUAGUUGGUAAGGUAACGGCUUACCAAGGCAACGAUGGGUAGGGGUCCUGAGAGGGAGAUCCCCCACACUGGUACUGAGACACGGACCAGACUCCUACGGGAGGCAGCAGUGAGGAAUAUUGGUCAAUGGACGCAAGUCUGAACCAGCCAUGCCGCGUGCAGGAUGACGGUCCUAUGGAUUGUAAACUGCUUUUGUACAGGAAGAAACAUCUCUACGUGUAGAGACUUGACGGUACUGUAAGAAUAAGGAUCGGCUAACUCCGUG